GAUGAAGAACGCAGCGAAAUGUGAUAAGUAAUGUGAAUUGCAGAAUUCAGUGAAUCAUCGAAUCUUUGAACGCACAUUGCGCCCCCUGGUAUUCCGGGGGGCAUGCCUGUUCGAGCGUCAUUACAACCCUCAAGCUCUGCUUGGUAUUGGGCCCCGCCAGUUCUGGCGGGCCCUAAAGUCAGUGGCGGUGCCUUCCGGCUCCGAGCGUAGUAAUUCUUCUCGCUCUGGAGACCCGGUUGUGUGCUUGCCAACAACCCCCAAUUUUUUAAGGUUGACCUCGGAUCAGGUAGGGAUACCAGCUGAACUUAAGCAUAUCAAUAAGCGGAGGA
rnacentral:misc_RNA from 1 species